GAGGAAAGAAAGUAAAAGAGGAGGAAAGAAGAAAAAUACGUAAAGAAGGUAAAAAGGGAGGAAAGAAGGGCGAGGCUGUAGUUCCGACUGACGCUCCCGUCACCAUUUCUCCUGUUACCGUUCCCCCUGUUACGCUUCCUCCUAUUUCUAGUGAAAAGGGAGG
rnacentral:ribozyme from 1 species